rnacentral:rRNA from 1 species
CCUACGGGUAGCAGCAGUGGGGAAUAUUGCACAAUGGGGGAAACCCUGAUGCAGCGACGCCGCGUGAGCGAUGAAGUAUUUCGGUAUGUAAAGCUCUAUCAGCAGGGAAGAAAAGGACGGUAGCUGACUAAGAAGGACCGGCUAACUACGUGCCACCAGCCGCGGUAAUACGUAGGGGGCAAGCGGUAGCCGGAUUUACUGGGUGUAAAGGGCGCGUAGACGGCGAUGCAAGCCAGAUGUGAAAGCACGGGGCUCAACCCCGGGACUGCAUUUGGAACUGUAUAGCUGGCGUGUCGGAGAGGCAGGCGGAAUUCCUAGUGUAGCGGUGAAAUGCGGAGAUAUUAGGAGGAACACCAGUGGCGAAGGCGGCCUGCUGGACGAUGACUGACGUUGAGGCUCGAAAGCGUGGGGAGCAAACAGGAUUAGAUACCCGAGUAGUC